CAGUUUUCAUAGUACAAACCGGAAGACUUUUUAUUAUAUUUUUAUUUCACUUUCACUCACACUUUCCACUCUCCCCACUCACACUUUUCACUCCCACCCACUCACACUUUUCACUUCCACUCACCCUUUCCACUCUCCCCACUCACACGAUACCUUGCCCCCUUUCCCUUCCACUCACCAUUUCUCCUACAUACCAAGGAACUAAGUGCGGAGCUACACCCACAGAAGUUCAGCUAUACCACACGGACUUCACAAACUCAGCUGAAAGCUCUAAAGACUUCAUCUACAAAUCACUCUGCCCAUUUUACCUCCAUGCACGGCUUUGAGCAUCAGAAGGAUUAGCACUGCUAUUCCGAUUCAGAGAUAAGGUUAAACGACAGGCUUUGCCUAUUCAGGUUGAGCAGCUACCGAUGGUGAUGAAGUGACGAGCGAGAUUCUUCUACCUUAUUAUGUAUUAAUGAACUCUAGGGUUACAUGUCUUCAUACAUGUAAUCAGAACCUUAUUCCGCUGCGUACUCAGAAGUUUUAUGUUAUUUUGGCUGAGUCAGAGAUAUCUGAACUUACUAGUUAUUUGAGUUUAUACGAUUAAA